rnacentral:rRNA from 1 species
AUUGAACGCUGGCGGCAUGCUUUACACAUGCAAGUCGAGCGGCAGCGCGGGAGCAAUCCUGGCGGCGAGCGGCGAACGGGUGAGGAAUACAUCGGAACGUACCCCGGAGUGGGGGAUAACGCCGCGAAAGCGGCGCUAAUACCGCAUAUGCUCUGAGGAGGAAAGUGGGGGACCUGCAAGGCCUCACGCUCUGGGAGCGGCCGAUGUCCGAUUAGCUAGUUGGUGGGGUAAUGGCUUACCAAGGCGACGAUCGGUAGCUGGUCUGAGAGGAUGAUCAGCCACACUGGGACUGAGACACGGCCCAGACUCCUACGGGUGGCAG